GCACGCUGUCGGGUAACCCGCUCGCGAUGGUCGCCGGCAUCGAGACGCUCGAGAUUCUCGGCGAGGACGGCGCGUACGAGUACAUGGACAAGAUGACGACGAAGCUCAUCAACGGCAUCCUCGAGGCGGGCAAGGCGGCCGGGCACGAGGUGUGCGGCGGGAACAUCCGCGGGAUGUUUGGCCUCUUUUUCUGCGCCGGGCCGGUGAAGAACUUCGCCGACGCCACCAACUCGGACACGGACAAGUUCGCGAGGUGGCACCGGGGGAUGCUCGAGGAGGGCGUCUACCUCGCGCCGUCGCAGUACGAGGCUGGGUUCACCGGGCUCAAGCACACGGAGGAGGACAUCGACUUCACGAUCGAGGC
rnacentral:lncRNA from 1 species